UCCGACCUCAGAUCGGACGAGAUUACCCGCUGAAUUUAAGCAUAUAACUAAGCGGAGGAAAAGAAACUAACAAGGAUUUCCCCAGUAACGGCGAGUGAAGCGGGAAGAGCCCAGCACCGAAUCCCUCAGUGUCACGCUGACGGGAACUGUGGUGUGUGGGACGCCACCAGUCGCGCCGGAGGGCGCCGAAGUCCUCCUGAUCGGGGCUUCACCCAGAGCGGGUGUAAGGCCUUUGCAGGUGCCUCUCUGCGCGGCCGCGAGCGUCUCAGGAGUCGGGUUGUUUGGGAAUGCAGCCCAAAGC
rnacentral:rRNA from 1 species